rnacentral:rRNA from 1 species
GAUGAACGCUGGCGGCGUGCUUAACACAUGCAAGUCGAACGAUGAAGCCCAGCUUGCUGGGUGGAUUAGUGGCGAACGGGUGAGUAACACGUGAGUAACCUGCCCUUAACUCUGGGAUAAGCCUGGGAAACUGGGUCUAAUACCGGAUAGGAGCGCCUACCGCAUGGUGGGUGUUGGAAAGAUUUAUCGGUUUUGGAUGGACUCGCGGCCUAUCAGCUUGUUGGUGAGGUAAUGGCUCACCAAGGCGACGACGGGUAGCCGGCCUGAGAGGGUGACCGGCCACACUGGGACUGAGACACGGCCCAGACUCCUACGGGAGGCAGCAGUGGGGAAUAUUGCACAAUGGGCGAAAGCCUGAUGCAGCGACGCCGCGUGAGGGAUAACGGCCUUCGGGUUGUAAACCUCUUUCAGUAGGGAAGAAGCGAAAGUGACGGUACCUGCAGAAGAAGCACCGGCUGACUACGUG